UACGUAGGGGGCUAGCGUUGUCCGGAUUUAUUGGGCGUAAAGCGCGUGUAGGCGGCCAGGUAGGUCCGUUGUGAAAACCCGAGGCUUAACCUCGGGACGCCGACGGAAACCAUCUGGCUAGGGUCCGGAAGAGGAGAGUGGAAUUCCCGGUGUAGCGGUGAAAUGCGCAGAUAUCGGGAAGAACACCCGUGGCGAAAGCGGCUCACUGGACCACAACUGACGCUGAGGCGCGAAAGCUAGGGGAGCAAACAGG
rnacentral:rRNA from 1 species